UCUGCCAGUUGCUGGUGAAAAUAUAUAUGGUUUGGGCCAUCAAACAUGACAAUGGAAUUUUAUUACUCUAUGGACAAAGUCAAAGUCAAUGGUACUAAACCAAUGAAAAUGCAAAAGAAUUUCAUCAGACAGAGCACUGAGUUAUUGUUAUUCAACCUUUCUAGUAGAUAAUUUAAUCUGCCCCUGUCAAGAUUGAUAUUUCUAACAAGAUAUUUUACUUCUGACUUAAUGAUACUCAGUGGUUCUCCUUGUUACCAUACCACAACCUUAAUUGAGAAUCUAAAAUCCUUGUGCUGUCAUUUUCAACUUUAC
rnacentral:lncRNA from 1 species